rnacentral:misc_RNA from 1 species
GAUGAAGAACGUAGCGAAAUGCGAUAAGUAAUGUGAAUUGCAGAAUUCAGUGAAUCAUCGAAUCUUUGAACGCACAUUGCGCCCCCUGGUAUUCCGGGGGGCAUGCCUGUUCGAGCGUCAUUUCAACCCUCAAGCUCUGCUUGGUAUUGAGUCCAUGUCAGCAAUGGCAGGCUCCAAUAUCAGUGGCGGCGCCGCUGGGUCCUGAACGUAGUAAUAUCUCUCGUUACAGGUGCUCGGCGUGCUUCUGCCAAAACCCCAAUUUUUCUAUGGUUGACCUCGGAUCAGGUAGGGAUACCCGCUGAACUUAAGCAUAUCAAUAAGCGGAGA